rnacentral:rRNA from 1 species
UGUGCAGGCGGGGUCUCAAGUGGUGUAUGAAAUCGCUCGGCUCAACCGGGCGCGGUUAUGCCAGACUGAGGCUCUGGAGUGCGGGAGAGGGGCGUGGAAUUCCGGGUGUAGUGGUGAAAUGCGUAGAGAUCCGGAGGAACCCCAGAGGCGAAGGCGGCGCCCUGGCCCGACACUGACGCUCAGACACGACAGCAUGGGAGCGAACG